rnacentral:rRNA from 1 species
CUACGGGUCGCUGCAGUGGGGAAUAUUGGACAAUGGGGGAAACCCUGAUGCAGCAACGCCGCGUGGAGGAUGACACUUUUCGGAGCGUAAACUCCUUUUAUAUAGGAAGAAGAUGACGGUACUAUAUGAAUAAGCGCCGGCUAACUCCGUGCCAGCAGCCGCGGUAAUACGGAGGGCGCAAGCGUUACUCGGAAUCACUGGGCGUAAAGAGCGUGUAGGCGGAUUAAAAAGUCAGAAGUGAAAUCCUAUAGCUUAACUAUAGAACUGCUUCUGAAACUCUUAAUCUAGAAUAUGGGAGAGGUAGAUGGAAUUUCUGGUGUAGGGGUAAAAUCCGUAGAGAUCAGAAGGAAUACCGAUUGCGAAGGCGAUCUACUAGAACAUUAUUGACGCUGAGACGCGAAAGCGUGGGGAGCAAACAGGAUUAGAUACCCUGGUAGUC